rnacentral:rRNA from 1 species
ACGCUAGCGGCAAGCCUAACACAUGCAAGUCGAACGGUAACUUUUGGUGCUUGCACCGAAAGACGAGUGGCGAACGGGUGCGUAACGCGUAUGCAAUCUGCCUUUUACUAGGGUAUAGCCCAGAGAAAUUUGGAAUAAUCCUCCAUGAUAUCAUUUAAUCGCAUGAUUUUUUGAUUAAAGCCUCGGUGGUAAAAGAUGAGCAUGCGUUCUAUUAGCUAGUAGGUAAGGUAACGGCUUACCUAGGCAACGAUAGAUAGGGGUCCUGAGAGGGAGAUCCCCCACACUGGUACUGAGACACGGACCAGACUCCUACGGGAGGCAGCAGUGAGGAAUAUUGGACAAUGGACGAAAGUCUGAUCCAGCCAUGCCGCGUGCAGGAUGAAUGCCCUAUGGGUUGUAAACUGCUUUUAUAUAGGAAGAAAACCCUUCACGUGUGGAGGCUUGACGGUACUAUAAGAAUAAGGAUCGGC